GAGGUGCGUAACACGUACACACUAGCUUAUACUAGGAGCAUAGCCUCGGGAAACUGAGAUUAAUUCUCCAUAAUGUUAUGAAGUGGCAUCACUAUAUAACUAAAACUCCGGUGGUAUAAGAUGGGUGUGCGUCCGAUUAGCUAAUUGGUGAGGUAACGGGUCAACAAGGCGACGAUCGGUANCUGGUCUGAGAGGAUGAUCAGCACACGGGCACUGAGACACGGGCCCGACUCCUACGGGAGGCAGCAGUAGGGAAUAUUGGACAAUGGGCGCAAGCCUGAUCCAGCCAUCCCGCGUGAAGGAUUAAGGUCCUAUGGAUUGUAAACUUCUUUUCUCUGGGAAUAAAAACCGGGAUUCAUUCCUGGCUUGAAGGUACCAGAGGAAUAAGCACCGGUAACUCCGUGCCAGCAGCCGCGGUAUACGGAGGGUGCAAGGCGUUAUCCGGAUCCACUGGGUUUAAAGGGUGCGUAGGUGGCUUUAUAAGUCAGUGGUGAAAGCCCGGAGCUUAAUCCGGAAUGCAUUGAUACUGUUAUUUGAUCAUCACAAGGUGGGNUGGAUCUAUCACUUUGUCACGCGGGAAAUGGCUUACAGAGAUUGUCA
rnacentral:rRNA from 1 species